GGGGGGAAACCCACGACCAGUGCAACAGAGAGCAAACCGCCGAUGGCCCGCGCAAGCGGGAUCAGGUAAGGGUGAAAGGGUGCGGUAAGAGCGCACCGCGCGGCUGGUAACAGUCCGUGGCACGGUAAACUCCACCCGGAGCAAGGCCAAAUAGGGGUUCAUAAGGUACGGCCCGUACUGAACCCGGGUAGGCUGCUUGAGCCAGUGAGCGAUUGCUGGCCUAGAUGAAUGACUGUCCACGACAGAACCCGGCUUAUCGGUCAGUUUCACCU
rnacentral:RNase_P_RNA from 1 species